CCAGCACCCCGAGUGGUCGGGACGAUUAUUGGGCCUAAAGCAUCCGUAGCCGGUUUUACAAGUCCUCCGUUAAAUCCAACUGCUUAACAGAUGGGCCGCGGAGGAUACUAUAAGACUAGGAGGCAGGAGAGGCAAGCGGUACUCAGUGGGUAGGGGUAAAAUCCGUUGAUCCAUUGAAGACCACCAGUGGCGAAGGCGGCUUGCCAGAAUGCGCUCGACGGUGAGGGAUGAAAGCUGGGGGAGCAAACCGGAUUAGAUACCCGGGUAGUCCCAGCUGUAAACGAUGCAGACUCGGUGAUGGACUAGCUUUAUGGUAGUCCAGUGCCGCAGGGAAGCCGUUAAGUCUGCCGCCUGGGUAGUACGGUCGCAAGACUG
rnacentral:rRNA from 1 species